rnacentral:rRNA from 1 species
UACGGGGGGAGCAAGCGUUGUUCGGAUUUACUGGGCGUAAAGGGCGCGUAGGCGGCUUUUCAAGUGACGGGUGAAAUCCCUCGGCUUAACCGAGGAACUGCCUGUCAGACUGGAAGGCUUGAGACCGGGAGAGGUGAGUGGAAUUCCCAGUGUAGCGGUGAAAUGCGUAGAUAUUGGGAGGAACACCAGUGGCGAAGGCGGCUCACUGGACCGGAACUGACGCUGAGGCGCGAAAGCGUGGGGAGCAAACAGG